rnacentral:rRNA from 1 species
GACGAACCGUGCGAACGUUGUUCGGAAUCACUGGGCGUAAAGGGUGCGUAGGCGGUCGGGUAAGUCUGAUGUGAAAUCUCACAGCUUAACUGUGAAACUGCAUUGGAUACUAUCCGGCUCGAGGAAUGGAGGGGAGACUGGAAUACUUGGUGUAGCAGUGAAAUGCGUAGAUAUCAAGUGGAACACCAGUGGCGAAGGCGAGUCUCUGGACAUUUCCUGACGCUGAGGCACGAAAGCCAGGGGAGCAAACAGG